rnacentral:rRNA from 1 species
GACGAACGCUGGCGGCGUGCUUAACACAUGCAAGUCGAACGGUGAAGCGCCUUCCUUUUUGGUGGGUGUGGAUGAGUGGCGAACGGGUGAGUAACACGUGAGUAACCUGCCCCCUUCUUCUGGAUAACCGCAUGAAAGUGUGGCUAAUACGGGAUAUUCUGGGUCUGUCGCAUGAUGGGUCUGGGAAAGAUAUUGUUUCGGUGGGGGAUGGGCUCGCGGCCUAUCAGCUUGUUGGUGGGGUGAUGGCCUACCAAGGCGGUGACGGGUAGCCGGCCUGAGAGGGUGGACGGUCACACUGGGACUGAGACACGGCACAGACUCAUACGGGAGGCAGCAGGGGGGAAUAUUGCACAAUGGGCGCAAGCCUGAUGCAGCGACGCCGCGUGAGGGAUGGAGGCCUUCGGGUUGUGAACCUCUUUCGCCAGUGAAGCAGGCCUGCCUCGUUUGUGGGUGGGUUGACGGUAGCUGGAUAAGAAGCGCCGGCUAACUACGUG